AGGGUUUGAUCAUGGCUCAGGAUGAACGCUGGCGGCGUGCUUAACACAUGCAAGUCGAACGAACCUUAGGGUUAGUGGCGGACGGGUGAGUAACGCGUGAGAAUCUGCCCUCAGGAGGGGGAUAACGGUUGGAAACGACCGCUAAUACCCCAUAUGCCUAUUGGUGAAAUGAAUUUCGCCUGAGGAUGAGCUCGCGUCUGAUUAGCUAGUUGGUGAGGUAAUGGCUCACCAAGGCUUCGAUCAGUAGCUGGUCUGAGAGGAUGAUCAGCCACACUGGGACUGAGACACGGCCCAGACUCCUACGGGAGGCAGCAGUGGGGAAUUUUCCGCAAUGGGCGAAAGCCUGACGGAGCAACGCCGCGUGAGGGACGAAGGCCUCUGGGCUGUAAACCUCUUUUCUCAAGGAAGAAGAUAUGACGGUACUUGAGGAAUAAGCCACGGCUAAUUCCGUGCCAGCAGCCGCGGUAAUAC
rnacentral:rRNA from 1 species